rnacentral:piRNA from 1 species
UAAAGGCUGAUGAUGAUGAUGAUGAUGAA